UACGAAGGGGGCUAGCGUUGCUCGGAAUGACUGGGCGUAAAGGGCGCGUAGGCGGAUGGUACAGUCAGAUGUGAAAUUCCUGGGCUCAACCUGGGGGCUGCAUUUGAUACGUGCUGUCUUGAGUUCGGAAGAGGGUCGUGGAAUUCCCAGUGUAGAGGUGAAAUUCGUAGAUAUUGGGAAGAACACCGGUGGCGAAGGUGGCGACCUGGUCCGAUACUGACGCUGAGGCGCGAAAGCGUGGGGAGCAAACAGG
rnacentral:rRNA from 1 species